rnacentral:lncRNA from 1 species
GUCCGAUCGGUCCGGUCCAAGAGGGGCGCUAUAUAAUAGUUCUGUGUUACAUUCUCCCAGACGACACUAAAACUCACGAUACCCUAGACAAGGAAAGAGAGUCUCUCUUUCCUUCUCUAAGGACAAAAUACUCGGAAGCUGAACCGCGCAACCGCGGUCUACGUCAAACUCAGCUGAACUUUGCCGCUAAUGGACUUUGUAAACAACGGCACUUUUAUAAAUAUCAUAGUAAAUAUGGCCCUAUUUAAAAACAAAGUUAAAAACUCAACAGCAUUCCUGUAUUUUUAAACAAUACAAAAAAUACUAAAAGCAUUUAAAGAAGAUUUACAAUUUGUGAAUGCGUUUUGGGGAUCCAGCGAUUCAUACGAACUUUGAUAAUUAAUAUUACAGACUGGAUUAUUUUUAAUUUGUGUUGUUUCACUUAAUUUUGUGAAAAACACUAUAAUAAGAAGAAGCGUAUUAUUUGCCCACUGUGUACUCUAAAUAUGGUAGUCUGUAUAGUUUGUGGAAGUUGCAGUAUAUUGCAACAAUAUUUGAAGAUAAACACCAUGAAGUAAAAUUGGAAAUGGAAACACAUAACUUUGCUACAAAGGAAAGUUAUAAACUGUGGUAUGAAAAACAGAAGAUCAAGAUAAAUUAUGCAUUCGCCAAGCCAAGAAAAUAUAAUGACUAUGUGGAAAAAAACUUACAAUUAUUAUCGUAAUCAUAGUAAAUCAGCCAGGACACAUCAGCAAUUAUUGUUCUAAAUGAACAGAGAAGGCCAGUAGUUCAAUAAAAA